rnacentral:rRNA from 1 species
CCUACGGGAGGCAGCAGUGGGGAAUAUUGGGCAAUGGGCGCAAGCCUGACCCAGCAACGCCGCGUGAAGGAAGAAGGCUUUCGGGUUGUAAACUUCUUUUCUGAGGGACGAAGAAAGUGACGGUACCUCAGGAAUAAGCCACGGCUAACUACGUGCCAGCAGCCGCUGUAAUACGUGAGUGGCAAGCGUUAGCCGGAUUUGUUGGGUGUAAAGGGCGUGUAGGCGGGAAAGCAAGUCAGAUGUGAAAACUCAGGGCUCAAACCUGAGCGGGCAGUUGAAACUGGUUUUCUUGAGUGCUGGAGAGGUAAGCGGAAUUCGGGGUGUAGCGGUGAAAUGCGUAGAUAUAAGGAGGAACACCAGUGGCGAAGGCGGAUUGCUGGAGAGUAACUGACGCUGAGGCGCGAAAGCGUGGGGAGCAAACAGGAUUAGAUACCCGGGUAGUC